ACUCAGGGCCAUAUCAUCUUGAAUGUGCCAGAUCUCUUCUGAUCUUUGAUGCUAAGCAGCGUCAGGCCUGGCUAGUGCUUAGGC
rnacentral:rRNA from 1 species